GGUUCGAUCCUGGCUCAGAUUGAACGCUGGCGGGAUGCUUUACACAUGCAAGUCGAAACGGCAGCACGGACUUCGGUCUGGUGGCGAGUGGCGAAACGGUGAGGUCGUAUCGAAACGUGCCUAGUAGCGGGGGAUAACUACGCGAAAGCGUAGCCAAUACCGCAUAUUGCCCUUCGGGGGAAAGCGGGGGACCUUCGGGCCUCGCACUAUUAGAGCGGCCGAUAUCGGAUUAGCUAGUUGGUGGGUAACGGCUCACCACAGUGACGAUCCGUAGCUGGUUUGAGAGGACGACCAGCCACACUGGACCAGGGAGACACGGCCUGACUCCUACGGGAGGCAGCAGUGGGGAAUUUUGGACACGGGGGGAAACUCCUGAUCCAGCAUCCUGCGAUGAAGGCCUUCGCCGUAAAGCACUUUUGGCAAGGAAAAGAAACGGCACGGGAUAAUACCCCGUGCAACUGACGUACCUGCAGAAUAAGCACUGGCUAAUUCAUGUGCCAGCAGCCGCGGUAAUACGUAGGGUGCAAGCGUUAAUCGGAAUUACUGGGCGUAAGCGUGCGCAGGCGGUUCGGAAAGAAAGAUGAAAUCCCAGAGCUUAACUUUGGAACUGCAUUUUUAACUACCGAGCUAGAGUGUGUCAGAGGGAGGUGGAAUUCGCGUGUAGUAGGAAAUGCGAUAUGCGGAGGAACGAUGGCGAAGGGUAGCCUCCUGGGAUAACACGACUUCGAUGCUCAUGCACGAAAGCGUGGGGAGCAAACAGGAUUAGAUGCCCUGGUAGUCCACGCCCCAAACGAUGUCAACUAGCUGUUGGGGCCUCGGGCCUGGUAGCGCAGCAACGCGGUGAAGUUGACCGCCUGGGGAGUACGGUCGCAAGAUUAAAACCUCAAAGGAAUUGACGGGGAAUCGCACAAGCGGUGGAUGAUGUGGAUUAAUUCGAUGCAACGCGCAAAACCUACCUACCUCUUGACAUGUCUGGAAUCCCGAAGAGAUUUGGGUGCUCAAAGAGAACCGGAACACAGGUGCUGCAUGGCUGUCGUCAGCUCGUGUCGUGAGAUGUUGGGUUAAGUCCCGCGAGCGCAACCUUGUCAUUAGUUGCUACGAAAGGGCACUCUAAUGAGACUGCCGGUGACAAACCGGAGGAAGGUGGGGAUGACGUCGUCCUCAUGGCCCUUAUGGGUAGGGCUUCAUGACGUCAUACAAUGGUCAGGACAGAGGGUCGCCAACCCGCGAGGGGAGCCAAUCCCAGAAACCCGAUCGUAGUCCGGAUCGCAGUCGGCAAUCCCGCUGACCGCGCGAAGUCGGAACUGCCAGUAAUCGCGGAUCAAAGCGUCGCGGUGAAUACGUUCCGGGUCUUGUACACACCGCCCGUCACACCGGCGGGGAGUGGGUUUUACCAGAAGCAAGGCCUAACCGUAAGGAGGGCGAUUACCACGGUAGUGGGAUUCAUAUCGGGGUGAAGUCGUAACAAGGUAG
rnacentral:rRNA from 1 species